GCUAUGACGGGUAUCCGGCCUGAGAAGGUGAACGGACACACUGGAACUGAGACACGGUCCAGACUCCUACGGGAGGCAGCAGUAGGGAAUAUUGCUCAAUGGGGGAAACCCUGAAGCAGCAACGCCGCGUGGAGGAUGAAGGUUUUAGGAUUGUAAACUCCUUUUGUCAGAGAAGAUAAUGACGGUAUCUGACGAAUAAGCACCGGCUAACUCCGUGCCAGCAGCCGCGGUAAUACGGAGGGUGCAAGCGUUACUCGGAAUCACUGGGCGUAAAGAGCGCGUAGGCGGGAUAGUCAGUCAGGUGUGAAAUCCUAUGGCUUAACCAUAGAACUGCAUUUGAAACUGCUAUUCUAGAGUGUGGGAGAGGCAGGUGGAAUUCUUGGUGUAGGGGUAAAAUCCGUAGAGAUCAAGAGGAAUACUCAUUGCGAAGGCGACCUGCUAGAACAUGACUGACGCUGAUUGCGCGAAAGCGUGGGGAGCAAACAGGAUUAGAUACCCUGGUAGUCCACGCCCUAAACGAUGGAUGCUAGUUGUUGGAGGGCUUAGUCUCUCCAGUAAUGCAGCUAACGCCUUAAGCAUCCCGCCUGGGGAGUACGGUCGCAAGAUUAAAACUCAAAGGAAUAGACGGGGACCCGCACAAGCGGUGGAGCAUGUGGUUUAAUUCGAAGAUACACGAAGAACCUUACCUAGGCUUGACAUUGAGAGAACCCGCUAGAAAUAGCGGGGUGUCUGGCUUGCCAGACCUUGAAAACAGGUGCUGCACGGCUGUCGUCAGCUCGUGUCGUGAGAUGUUGGGUUAAGUCCCGCAACGAGCGCAACCCCCUUUCUUAGUUGCUAACAGGUCAUGCUGAGAACUCUAAGGAGACUGCCUCCGUAAGGAGGAGGAAGGUGGGGACGACGUCAAGUCAUCAUGGCCCUUACGCCUAGGGCUACACACGUGCUACAAUGGGGUGCACAAAGAGAAGCGAUACUGCGAAGUGGAGCCAAUCUUCAAAACACCUCCCAGUUCGGAUUGCAGGCUGCAACUCGCCUGCAUGAAGCCGGAAUCGCUAGUAAUCGCAAAUCAGCCAUGUUGCGGUGAAUACGUUCCCGGGUCUUGUACUCACCGCCCGUCACACCAUGGGAGUUGUGUUUGCCUUAAGUCAGGAUGCUAAAGCAGCUACUGCCCACGGCACGCACAGCGACUGGGGUGAAGU
rnacentral:rRNA from 1 species